CCUUGUACACACCGCCCGUCAAGUCAUGGGAGCCGGAAAUAGCCGAAGUCGCUGUGAUACAGCAGUGCCUACGCUAGGUUCGGUGACUGGGACU
rnacentral:rRNA from 1 species